AUUGAACGCUGGCGGCAGGCCUAACACAUGCAAGUCGAACGAGUGGCGGACGGGUGAGUAAUGUCUGGGAAACUGCCUGAUGGAGGGGGAUAACUACUGGAAACGGUAGCUAAUACCGCAUACCAUCAGAUGUGCCCAGAUGGGAUUAGCUAGGAGGUGGGGUAAUGGCUCACCUAGGCGACGAUCCCUAGCUGGUCUGAGAGGAUGACCAGCCACACUGUAACUGAGACCCGGGCCAGACUCCUCCGGGAGGCAGCAGUGGGGAAGAUUGCACAAUGGGCGCAAGCCUGAUGCAGCCAUGCCGCGUGUAUGAAGAAGGCCUUCGGGUUGUAAAGUACUUUCAGCGGGGAGGCGUUACCCGCAGAAGAAGCACCGGCUAACUCCGUGCCAGCCGCCGCGGUAAUAC
rnacentral:rRNA from 1 species